GUGAUGAAGUCAUCACCGCAUAGACACGCAGUGUAUUUUUGGUGGUGUUUGGUGAUUGGGCUAUUUGGGCGGUUCACCACACGUGUUAUCAGAUUAAAACUCUCUUUCAAUCUCUCCGGCGGCCAUAAUUUCAGCCCUUUCUCUCUCUCUCUCUACAAGGUCGCCGCUCCAGCCACAGCUCCACCACCCACUUUGUUUGAACGAGCAUUCAUCUGAAUCGUAGUAAACUGAUCUUCGUCAAUCGGGAUUGUUCUUCUGUGUUCGGAGAAAGAAUGAGAAUGGUAUCCAUAGUGGAUUAGAGCAGGAUCAGAAGCUCACUGCUUCCAUCGCAAUCCAACGACUUAUCCACCAUGAAACAUUUGAAUAUCCACACCAUCAUGGUUUAGGUUGUUUCUUCAUACACUCUUACUUCGAAGUCAGCCGGAUUUGUCUGGAUUCUUAUGUCAACAUGAUGAGUCGGAAAAUUUAUUGAUAUAUCGGAACUGGUGACUGUAUACGUGUGUUUGUUUUGUAUACCGUAUGUACGCAAAUUGGGCAUGCAAUGUAAUACCAAUUUUCUUUGUGAGAAUUUCUAUUAUAUUGGUGUUGGGCAUGAAAGCUUUUCCCAAUAAUGCAUUCAAAGUCAUGCCUAAAUUGCUACCGCGUUGCGUGAGAAAAAAUAUCACAUUCCUGUUGCGAGCGCGGGGAAAAACUAAGCUAUAAUAAUAAGUGGUGAUUGGUCAUUUGAACGGUCUUGUAUUGUGGCUGUGAUGUUGCUCUGCCAUUUGGCAUGGAAACUUAUGUUGUAGCCAUGGCUGAUCCGAACCUUCAAUUUUGGAUUUUGGCUCGAUGAUGGCGCGUUUAGGCGCAUCCAAGGGUUUCUUGGUCCACCCUAUGAUGGCGAUGGGAGCAUACCUUGAUUAUUGCAUUUUGCAGUUUAGAGUUUAGGCUAUGGGGUAUGGUGGGCGUGGGUUUGGGGGCAUGAGUUGACAUGUGGAAAGCAAACUCAAACCCACGCCCAUGGGGUAUGGUGGGGCUUGGGUUGGGGGCAUGAGUUUGGUUUGGCCAUUGAGAGUCCGCCAUGUCACCUUGCUAGCCCGCCCCAAGCCCGGCUUCAAACCCAAGCCCCAAGGGCCACGCCCCAACCCAAGCCCCCGGGGUGGUGGCUUGGGCGUUUUCAGCCAACCCACGCCCCAACUCAAGCCCCAUACCCCAUAGCAACUUUUCCUCCUUGAAUUUGUGAUCUAAUGAUGCUUGGUCGAUAAUGAUGAGCUUCGACCCAUUAAUUUUCUUAUCUGCCGACGGUGGCCAAAUCGCCCAUACUAAUUGAGUGGUGUUUGUGGUGUUGGUGCUUUGUGAUUGGGCUAUUUGAGCGGUUUUUUAUUAAAGCUGUGAUGUUGCUCUGUCAUAUGGCGUGGCAAUUUAUGUUGCAGCCAUGGCAGAUCUGAGACUUUAAUUUUGGAUUUUGACUCGAUGAUCGUGCAUCUAGGCACAUCUAUGUGUUGCUUGGUCCAUCUUAUGAUGGCGAUGGGUGCAAAUCCUUAUUAUUGGGUUUUACGGUUUAGAGUGUACAUAAGUUUUUCUCCUCGAAUUUCCGAUCUGGUGAUGCUUGGCCGAUGAUGUUGAGCUUUGGCUUAUUUGAGAGGUGAUUGAGGUUUUUUUAGCCCUAAUUUUUUGGGUGAUUUGGUGCUCUGGUGUUGAACAUCCUAUAUGUUUUUGGAUUAGUAUACCUUGCUAGAGACCUUACACGUCGGACUCUAAAUCGAAUGGUUUUGAAACGAAACAAGUGAUUCUUUUUUUUCGGCUGUGAUCUGUCAUUUGGCGUGGCAACUUAUGUUGCAGCCAUGUCAGAUCUGAGCCUUUCAUUUUAGAUUUUGACUUGAUGGUUCGUCUAGGCGCAUCUAAGGGUUGCUUGGUCCAUCUUUGUGUUCUACAGUUUAAACUUUUCAGAAAUUAUUUCUCCUUGAAUUUGUGAUCUGAUGUUUGGAACAACAACCGAGUUUGAAACAAAAUAUGCUCCCCGUCAACGGAGAUAAAUUUAGGUGGAAUAGGAGGCAGUGGAGAUACCGAUGACCCAGAUUCUCUGACUCUGAUUUUAUGGGUUCAUUUAUUCAAGAUACGUGGCCAUCAAUGGGAAACAAACCUUUGGAUCAUGGCAUUUGUUUAGAAUCAGGUUAGAGAUGCUGGUGCACUCAUCUUGAAUCCUAAUCAUGUUGAGGCUCAAGCUACAUUUAUAACAAAGCAUGUUGUCACACUUAUAGGUAUUGUAAUGAAAUUCAUGUUGGGCCUAUGGGUCAUCCAUUCAGAUCAUGUCAAGGCACAAAUUCUUCACUCCGCAAGGGAACCCACAAGUGAGUAGACGUUGUUGUAGUGGACGUAAUAGUUCAAGCCGAAGCGUAUGAUUGUUUGGGAAAACGUAUCCCACACGAAGAAAGAUUUUCAGUCUGUAAAAUCCCCACACUUAACAGAGCUAUGCAUCCAAGCAGGAGUCGAUAUACCUGAAUACCCAACCCCACAAAAAGAAGAAAACCCAUAAACCGAAUCAAUAAAAGGGAGUUUCUUGAUGGAAAUGAAAGUGAACAUGAAUUCCCUUCUUGUAACAACAUAUAUCAUGAUAACACGGCAAAAAAAAAAACAUAUUGUAAAUCGCGCAACGCGACGAUGAAGAACACUAGUUUUUAUUAUAUGUAAUCUUAAUUUGAGAUAUUAAGAUACAAGUUAUGCAUUUAUCUCUA